rnacentral:rRNA from 1 species
UACGUAGGGUGCAGGCGUUAAUUGGAAUUACUGGGCGUAAAGGGUGCGUAGGCGGCGGGGAAAGUCUGAUGUGAAAUCCUGGGGCUCAACCCUGGAACUGCAUUGGAUACUUCCUUGCUAGAGUACUGGAGAGGAAACUGGAAUUUACGGUGUAGCAGUGAAAUGCGUAGAGAUCGUAAGGAAGACCAGUGGCGAAGGCGAGUUUCUGGACAGUUACUGACGCUGAGGCACGAAGGCCAGGGGAGCAAACGGG